CAAAAAGUCAAGGAAAAGCGAAAAACUAGUGAUACUCUUGCUCUCUACAGAUUUAUUUUUGAACGUAAAGUUGUGUACUCAACAAAUUUUUUCAGUACUGCAAAGGUCACACCACGAAGUAUUUAAUGUUUGGCUUUUUCCUGUUUAGCAAUCUGUAUUCUGUAUAAUUGUGAACAUUGAAGUAUAAAUAAAGUGAAACUUCAUUUCAAAAGAGGAAGAGUAUUGUAACCAAAACACCAUCAACAAACGGGGCUCUCAGGAGUAUAAAUGUCUUCAACUAUAUGCAUAGUUUGCAGCUGCAUUUGAUAAAUUUCCGUUAAAAAAUUACGGAAGACACUGGUUUGGUCGUUAUUCGCAUGGUAUUUUGCUUGUAUGGCGAUUCGGUUAUGGUUAUUCGACAUGUAUUUGGUGCUUGAUAUAGGAUUGAGAGAACGAACAAACUAGUUGGCCUUCCGUGAAUAUGCCGUCUGUUCAUAUUUCAAGAAAUUUUUCUGAGUUUUUCAUGCUCUCUGUUACAAAGCUUUUUCCGAAACCGCAAGAUAUGUUAAGCCUUUUUAUUAUAGAAAGAUGUUAAUUUUAUUUCAGAUGAAAACAUCUUUACUAUAUAUAGGCGGAUUCGCUAUUGUGUGUUAUGAUUUGUAAUAUGAAGUUGAUUAUAUAAUAUAUACUUUUAUUUCUUGUUUUAAACUAAGUGCACUAAAACGAACACAUAAUAAAAGAACAAAUGAUCAUUUCAUAACAAGUAAAUAUGUAUUUAAUUGA